GACGAACCGAGCGAACGUUGUUCGGAAUCACUGGGCUUAAAGGGCGCGUAGGCGGGCCGCCAAGUCAGGGGUGAAAGCCCCCAGCUCAACUGGGGAAGCGCCUCUGAUACUGGCGGCCUCGAGGGAGGUAGGGGCGUGCGGAACUUCCGGUGGAGCGGUGAAAUGCGUAGAUAUCGGAAGGAACACCGGUGGCGAAAGCGGCGCGCUGGACCUCUUCUGACGCUGAGGCGCGAAAGCCAGGGGAGCGAACGGG
rnacentral:rRNA from 1 species